CACGUAGGGCGCAAGCGUUGUCCGGAAUUAUUGGGCGUAAAGAGCUCGUAGGUGGUUUGUUACGUCUGCUGUGAAAACCUAGGGCUUAACCCUGGGCUUGCAGUGGAUACGGGCAGACUAGAGGUAGGUAGGGGAGAAUGGAAUUCCUGGUGUAGCGGUGAAAUGCGCAGAUAUCAGGAGGAACACCGGUGGCGAAGGCGGCAUCCUGGACCAAUUCUGACGCUGAGGAGCGAAAGCCAGGGGAGCAAACGGGG
rnacentral:rRNA from 1 species